rnacentral:rRNA from 1 species
CCUACGGGAGGCAGCAGUGGGGAAUAUUGGACAAUGGGGGCAACCCUGAUCCAGCCAUGCCGCGUGUGUGAAGAAGGCCUUUUGGUUGUAAAGCACUUUAAGCGAGGAGGCGUUACUCGCAGAAUAAGCACCGGCUAACUCUGUGCCAGCAGCCGCGGUAAUACAGAGGGUGCGAGCGUUAAUCGGAAUUACUGGGCGUAAAGCGCGCGUAGGCGGUUCGUUAAGUCAAAUGUGAAAUCCCCGAGCUUAACUUGGGAAUUGCAUUCGAUACUGGCGAGCUAGAGUAUGGGAGAGGAAGGUAGAAUUCCAGGUGUAGCGGUGAAAUGCGUAGAGAUCUGGAGGAAUACCGAUGGCGAAGGCAGCCUUCUGGCCUAAACUGACGCUGAGGUGCGAAAGCAUGGGGAGCAAACAGGAUUAGAUACCCUUGUAGUC